GAUGAACGCUGGCGGCGUGCCUAAUACAUGCAAGUCGAGCGAACAGAUAAGGAGCUUGCUCCUUUGGCGUUAGCGGCGGACGGGUGAGUAACACGUGGGUAACCUACCUAUAAGACUGGGAUAACUUCGGGAAACCGGAGCUAAUACCGGAUAAUAUUUCGAACCGCAUGGUUCGAUAGUGAAAGAUGGCUUUGCUAUCACUUAUAGAUGGACCCGCGCCGUAUUAGCUAGUUGGUAAGGUAACGGCUUACCAAGGCGACGAUACGUAGCCGACCUGAGAGGGUGAUCGGCCACACUGGAACUGAGACACGGUCCAGACUCCUACGGGAGGCAGCAGUAGGGAAUCUUCCGCAAUGGGCGAAAGCCUGACGGAGCAACGCCGCGUGAGUGAUGAAGGUCUUCGGAUCGUAAAACUCUGUUAUUAGGGAAGAACAUACGUGUAAGUAACUGUGCACGUCUUGACGGUACCUAAUCAGAAAGCCACGGCUAACUACGUG
rnacentral:rRNA from 1 species